AUGGAUUCAGUCACUUCUUAUGUGUCUGAGCGCUGCAGCACAUCAAACCUGAACCUCCAUGUGUGCCUGUUCACCGAAGUGAAGCACACUGAGUCGCAGGCCGAAACUGCACGGGCUCUGAGUGAUCUGGCACACGCUGGACACGGGCGCUUCAUCUGGACCACAGAAACCGGCGUCCUGGAGAGUGAUGACAUCAGUGUCCUGAUUGAAGAAAUGCAGACGGCGGCUAAUUAUUAUCAGAAGAGCUGUGAGUUAGUGGACUCUCUGAUGCAGAAGAGCUCCAGCGGAGGUUCAGGAGAGAGCAGCUCUUCAUCUAUCAGACCCCCAACCUCCAGCCCAAAAUCCAAAGUGCCUUUACCUCGACCCACAACACUCAGCCUGGCCAGACAGGUCAGAUUCUGCACAGUCAAACAUCACACAUCUGAUCUGCACACGGUCACACAUUAAUUUGAGCAUGAAAUCUAAAAAUUACAAUGUUUAUUUUUCUAUAGCUUACAUUGUUAUUCUUAAGAUGAAUAUUUACAGUAAUCCAUGCAAGUUACAGUUUUUCUCAGACGCUUUGGUGCAUUUCUCACAACACUAUUUACAUUUGCACAACAGUUAAUGCAAACUGCAAAACAAUUAGUGCAAACUGCAAAACCUAGCUAAUAACCUGCAAAAGCGCGUCACUUGCUCAAAAUAGAUAGUUCAUUCCUCAAAAGCAAGUAUUGAUGUCAAUCAAAGUGUCAGUGUCAUCAAAAUGAAAAGUCCUGUCACCAUUGUUUAUGAACAAGAUAGUCAAAUGGCUUAGUCCUGUUUUCAUUAUGGCGGUUUACUCUCUACAUUUUUUCAAUGCAAAAAAAGUCAGAAGUUGGUGACACCUGCUGAAAAUGCUCAAGACAGCACUAUAUACUAUUUGCACAGCCAUUUGAACACUACAGUAAAGUUAGACAUCACUGCAUUUAGUAAGGGAUCUGAGUACAAGACACUGAAUAUGUAUGUUUCACAUUUUUAUUGCAUUUGCUCUUUACAAUUCUAAUUUAUUCACAGCAUUGUGCAAAAGAAUAAAUACACCCUUUUUUACAACAAAC
rnacentral:lncRNA from 1 species